CAGCCUGAUGCGCCAUUCCGCGUGUGUGAAGAAGGCCUUCGGGUUGUAAAGCACUUUCAGUCGUGAGGAAGGUGGUGUAGUUAAUAGCUGCAUUAUUUGACGUUAGCGACAGAAGAAGCACCGGCUAACUCCGUGCCAGCAGCCGCGGUAAUACGGAGGGUGCGAGCGUUAAUCGGAAUUACUGGGCGUAAAGCGCAUGCAGGUGGUUUGUUAAGUCAGAUGUGAAAGCCCGGGGCUCAACCUCGGAAUAGCAUUUGAAACUGGCAGACUAGAGUACUGUAGAGGGGGGUAGAAUUUCAGGUGUAGCGGUGAAAUGCGUAGAGAUCUGAAGGAAUACCGGUGGCGAAGGCGGCCCCCUGGACAGAUACUGACACUCAGAUGCGAAAGCGUGGGGAGCAAACAGGAUUAGAUACCCUGGUAGUCCACGCCGUAAACGAUGUCUACUUGGAGGUUGUGGCCUUGAGCCGUGGCUUUCGGAGCUAACGCGUUAAGUAGACCGCCUGGGGAGUACGGUCGCAAGAUUAAAACUCAAAUGAAUUGACGGGGGCCCGCACAAGCGGUGGAGCAUGUGGUUUAAUUCGAUGCAACGCGAAGAACCUUACCUACUCUUGACAUCCAGAGAACUUUCCAGAGAUGGAUUGGUGCCUUCGGGAACUCUGAGACAGGUGCUGCAUGGCUGUCGUCAGCUCGUGUUGUGAAAUGUUGGGUUAAGUCCCGCAACGAGCGCAACCCUUAUCCUUGUUUGCCAGCGAGUAAUGUCGGGAACUCCAGGGAGACUGCCGGUGAUAAACCGGAGGAAGGUGGGGACGACGUCAAGUCAUCAUGGCCCUUACGAGUAGGGCUACACACGUGCUACAAUGGCGCAUACAGAGGGCAGCCAACUUGCGAAAGUGAGCGAAUCCCAAAAAGUGCGUCGUAGUCCGGAUUGGAGUCUGCAACUCGACUCCAUGAAGUCGGAAUCGCUAGUAAUCGUGGAUCAGAAUGCCACGGUGAAUACGUUCCCGGGCCUUGUACACACCGCCCGUCACACCAUGGGAGUGGGCUGCAAAAGAAGUAGGUAGUUUAACCUUCGGGGGGACGCUUACCACUUUGUGGUCAUGACUGGGUGAUC
rnacentral:rRNA from 1 species